rnacentral:rRNA from 1 species
UACAGAGGUCUCAAGCGUUGUUCGGAUUCAUUGGGCGUAAAGGGCGCGUAGGCGGUGGGGCAAGUCUGGUGUGAAAUCUCGGAGCUCAACUUCGAAAUUGCACUGGAUACUGCUCUGCUAGAGGGCUGGAGAGGAGAUCGGAAUUCACGGUGUAGCAGUGAAAUGCGUAGAUAUCGGGAGGAAGACCAGUGGCGAAGGCGGAUCUCUGGACAGCUCCUGACGCUGAGGCGCGAAGGCUAGGGGAGCAAACGGG